rnacentral:rRNA from 1 species
AACGAACGCUGGCGGCAGGCUUAACACAUGCAAGUCGAACGCGCCCUUCGGGGCGAGUGGCAGACGGGUGAGUAACGCGUGGGAACCUACCUUUUGGUACGGAAUAACUCAGGGAAACUUGAGCUAAUACCGUAUGUGCCCUUAUCCUUGAUCGGGUUUGGGAAAGAUUCAUCGCCAAAGGAUGGGCCCGCGUCGGAUUAGCUAGUUGGUGGGGUAACGGCCUACCAAGGCGACGAUCCGUAGCUGGUCUGAGAGGAUGAUCAGCCACACUGGGACUGAGACACGGCCCAGACUCCUACGGGUGGCAG